AGAUUGAACGCUAGCGGGAUGCUUUACACAUGCAAGUCGAACGGCAGCGCGGACUUCGGUCUGGCGGCGAGUGGCGAACGGGUGAGUAAUAUAUCGGAACGUGCCCAGUAGCGGGGGAUAACUACGCGAAAGCGUGGCUAAUACCGCAUACGCCCUACGGGGGGAAAGGGGGGGAUUCUUCGGAACCUCUCACUAUUGGAGCGGCCGAUAUCAGAUUAGCUAGUUGGUGAGGUAAAGCUCACCGAGGCGACGAUCUGUAGCUGGUUUGAGAGGACGACCAGCCACACUGGGACUGAGACACGGCCCAGACCCCUACGGGAGGCAGCAGUGGGAAUUUGGACAAGUGGGGGAAACCCUGAUCCAGCCAUCCCCGCGGUGUCGGCGAUAGAACGGCCGUUUACGGGUUACGUAAAGGUCCUAACGGUUUUA
rnacentral:rRNA from 1 species